UACAGAGGUCCCAAGCGUUGUUCGGAUUCACUGGGCGUAAAGGGUGCGUAGGCGGUCGGGUAAGUCUGAUGUGAAAUCUCACAGCUUAACUGUGAAACUGCAUUGGAUACUAUCCGGCUCGAGGAAUGGAGGAGAGACUGGAAUACUUGGUGUAGCAGUGAAAUGCGUAGAGAUCCGGAGGAACACCAAAGGCGAAGGCAGUGUCCUGGGGAGUACCUGACGCUCAGGUGCGAAAGCCAGGGGAGCGAACGGG
rnacentral:rRNA from 1 species